rnacentral:miRNA from 1 species
GCCACAAACUCUGCCCCUAA